UCCAGAAUCAUCACAAACGGU
rnacentral:piRNA from 1 species